rnacentral:rRNA from 1 species
GAUGAACGCUGGCGGCGUGCUUAACACAUGCAAGUCGAACGGAAAGGCUCCUGCUUUCAGGGGUACUCGAGUGGCGAACGGGUGAGUAACACGUGGGUGAUCUGCCCUGCACUUCGGGAUAAGCCUGGGAAACUGGGUCUAAUACCGGAUAGGACGAUGUUUUGCAUGCCAUUGUGGAAAGUUUUUCGGUGUGGGAUGAGCUCGCGGCCUAUCAGCUUGUUGGUGGGGUAAUGGCCUACCAAGGCGUCGACGGGUAGCCGGCCUGAGAGGGUGUACGGCCACAUUGGGACUGAGAUACGGCCCAGACUCCUACGGGAGGCAGCAGUGGGGAAUAUUGCACAAUGGGCGCAAGCCUGAUGCAGCGACGCCGCGUGGGGGAUGACGGCCUUCGGGUUGUAAACUCCUUUCGCUAGGGACGAAGCGCAAGUGACGGUACCUGGAGAAGAAGCACCGGCUAACUACGUG